AGUGAACGCUGGCGGUAGGCCUAACACAUGCAAGUCGAACAGCAGCACAGUAAGAGCUUGCUCUUACGGGUGGCGAGUGGCGGACGGGUGAGGAAUACAUCGGAAUCUACUUUUUCGUGGGGGAUAACGUAGGGAAACUUACGCUAAUACCGCAUACGACCUACGGGUGAAAGCAGGGGAUCUUCGGACCUUGCGCGAUUGAAUGAGACGAUGUCGGAUUAGCUAGUUGGCGGGGUAAAGGCCCACCAAGGCGACGAUCCGUAGCUGGUCUGAGAGGAUGAUCAGCCACACUGGAACUGAGACACGGUCCAGACUCCUACGGGAGGCAGCAGUGGGGAAUAUUGGACAAUGGGCGCAAGCCUGAUCCAGCCAUACCGCGUGGGUGAAGAAGGCCUUCGGGUUGUAAAGCCCUUUUGUUGGGAAAGAAAAGCAGCAGGUUAAUACCCCGCUGUUCUGACGGUACCCAAAGAAUAAGCACCGGCUAACUUCGUG
rnacentral:rRNA from 1 species